rnacentral:tRNA from 1 species
AGGAUUAUAUUUAAUUAUAAUAAUUGAUUUGCAGUCAAAAGGUACCUAAAGGUUAAUCUUA